rnacentral:rRNA from 1 species
AUGGGAGGCACCCUGCGUUUCCUGUCGGAUGUGCUGCUAGGUAGCAGCAGCCAGAGGCGGCACAGCAAGAAGCGGAGGCAGUUCAACACGGUGGAGCUCAAGGUGAAGAUGGACUGCGACGGCUGCGAGCUCAAGAUCCGGAACACCCUCGCCAACAUGAAAGGUGCUCAGUCGGUGGAGAUCAACCGGAAGCAGCACAAGGUGACGGUGAAGGGGUUCGUGGAGCCGCAGCGUGUGCUGAGGAGAGUCCAGUCGACGGGGAAGCGGGCCGAGCUCUGGCCGUACGUGCCUUACACAAACCCCUACAUGCCGCCGGUGUACGACAAGCGGGCUCCCGCCGGCCACGUGCGCAAGGUGGAAGGUGCCAUGCCGGUCUCCGCCGGCCAGGAGGAGCGCCUCGCCACGCUCUUCAGCGACGACAACCCAAACGCCUGCUCCGUCAUGUAG